AAUUGAAUAAGGCUACAGCCAAUAUACAUCCAUAUAAUUCAUCAUUACAUAUUCCAAAACAAAGUACAAUACAUGGCCCUGUGAAAGUUGGAUGAAACUUUAAGUAAUAUACAGUUUAUAGGUUUGAGCUGAACUUUAAUAUUGACAUGAUGGUAUCUUUCUUGAUAUCUCUACAUUGAUGACAGAAUAUUGACACUUCAGUGUUUAUUUGUUAUCUAAUUUAUCAAAACAGUGUUUAAAGAGUCUAACCUGUGUCUACCCUGUCUGAUAAAGGUUUAUUGAUCACAGUGUUCUUGAAUUAUAGUUGAAAAUUCAUUGAUCCCAUUUUGUAUCAGAUAGUUUUACUUAUUUAACUCUUAGCCUGCUGCAGGCGAAUUUAACAGCCUUUGCAAACAGCUUGGAACCAGAUCAGACGCCGAUUAAAUCGGCGUCUGAUCAGGUUCCAAGCUGUUUGCUACUCUGACAAUAUUUCUUCCAGUUUUGGAGCAAAUUGAAUGAACUUUACAAUUUUAGCAGACGACAUUUCCAGCAGACGACAAUUUAUCUAGCAUGCUAAGGGUUAAGGCUUCUAAUAUAUGGAAAACUUAAGCGUCUAGUAAUCCAGGGGUUAAGUAUUUUUAGAGCAGGAUGAAAAAUAAAAUGAGCCGCGCCAUGGGAAAACCAACAUAGUGGGUGUGCGACCAGCAUGGAUCCAGACCAGCCUGCGCAUCCGCGCAGUCUGGUCAGGCUCCAUGCUGUUCGCUUCUAAAGCCUAUUGGAAUUGGAGAAACUGUUAGCGAACAGCAUGGAGCCUGACCAGACUGCGCGGAUGCGCAGGCUGGUCUGGAUCCAUGCUGGUCGCACACCCACUAUGUUGGUUUUCCCAUGGCACGGCUCAAAUUAAGACAGGAUAAGGAGGAAGUAUGUUACAAGAUUUUGCUCAUUUAAAGUUAACUGAAAACUCAAGACUUGAGUGUUUCACGUGUGUUGAGAGACAUUAGCAAAUGUAUGAGUUUUUGGAAAUCUCAUUUGUUAGCAUCUUGUUACAGGGCAGAGCAAAAUAUUGGCAUGGUCUGUUUGAUAUGUUCUGAAUAUACAGAAUGUUAAAACAACUUUGCUGUAAAAGACUGUAUUGCCCUUUAAGAGUUUAAGUGAGAAAGUUUGUAAAUUCAUUGUAUUGUACAGUUCAUACCUUUCAGUUACAUCCUUGAUACAUGUAAAUAGAGAAAUACGGAAAAACCAGGCCAUGCCAAUUUUUUGACUGCUAUAUACAUUUUGUCGUGUCAUAUUCGAGAUUUAAUUUUGAUAUAAAUACAGUCAUGUUAUAUAAGUGUUGUCUGAUCACAUAUCUAGGGCAACAAAUUGUGUAUAUGUUAUUGGUGACCAUAAUUUAAAUCUGUUGUAAUUGAUGAAAAGUGAAAUAAAAUAUUUUAUUUUUAAAA